rnacentral:lncRNA from 1 species
GGAGGUGGGGCCCGCGAGACACAACAGGCAGGCUAAAUUGUGCGGUUAACGGUCAAAGCCCCCCUGCCUACUUUGACACUCAUUUAAAGAUGACAGGGAACAAUAGAGAUUUGUUCUGUGCAACCCUUUCUUGUUAUGCCGGCGACAUCAGCUCCGCACAUGAAACUGCCCGAUAUUUCAUUCCACCUGCCACCUCCCUCCCGCCUCGGUCGACUCUCUCCUCUGCUACUUUGCUUGUCCCCACUUUAACACAAAGAGACAGAGACAAGAGAUUCGACUGUGUUAGCCAGGAUGGUCUCGAUCUCCUGACUUCGUGAUCUGCCCGCCUCAGCCUCCCAAAGUGCUGGGAUUACAGGCUUGAGCCACUGUGCCUGGCUUCAGGCUGGGAUUUUUAUAGCUUAUUAUGGCAAGGGAGGAGACGGAGAGUAAAAGAAGAAGGAAGAGCAUACACAGUCACCCCUUGUGUGACAAAUAUGCAAGAAAUAAAGAUAAAUGUGUACAAUUCUUACAAUUUUACUUUUCUGAAUUUUGCUAUUGCACUGAAUGAUUUGUGAUAAGACAGAUGGGGAUGAAAAAUAUACUUAUUAAAUAAACAGCUAUUAAAAGCCCCUAAAACUCUUUAAAAUGGGAUCUUUUUGUUUGAUU